GACUACAUGAAGCUGGAAUCGCUAGUAAUCGCGGAUCAGAAUGCCGCGGUGAAUACGUUCCCGGGUCUUGUACACACCGCCCGUCACACCAUGGGAGUCGGAAAUGCCCGAAGUCUGUGACCCAACCGCGAGGAGGGAGCAGCCGAAGGCAGGUCGGAUGACUGGGGUGAAGUCGUAACAAGGUAUC
rnacentral:rRNA from 1 species